rnacentral:rRNA from 1 species
UACGAAGGGGACUAGCGUUGUUCGGAAUUACUGGGCGUAAAGGGCGCGUAGGCGGUACUUCAAGUCAGGCGUGAAAGCCCCGGGCUCAACCUGGGAACCGCGCUUGAGACUGGAGAACUAGAGUUCGGGAGAGGAUGGUGGAAUUCCCAGUGUAGAGGUGAAAUUCGUAGAUAUUGGGAAGAACACCGAUGGCGAAGGCAGCCAUCUGGACCGACACUGACGCUGAUGCGCGAAAGCGUGGGGAGCAAACAGG